AUUGAACGCUGGCGGCAUGCCUUACACAUGCAAGUCGAACGGCAGCACGGACUUCGGUCUGGUGGCGAGUGGCGAACGGGUGAGUAAUAUAUCGGAACAUACCCUAGAGUGGGGGAUAACGUAGCGAAAGCUACGCUAAUACCGCAUACGAACUAAGGUUGAAAGCGGGGGAUCUUCGGACCUCGUGCUCAUGGAGUGGCCGAUAUCUGAUUAGCUAGUUGGUGAGGUAAAGGCUCACCAAGGCGACGAUCAGUAGCUGGUUUGAGAGAACGACCAGCCACACUGGAACUGAGACACGGUCCAGACUCCUACGGGAGGCAGCAGUGGGAAUUUUGGACAAUGGGCGCAAGCCUGAUCCAGCAAUGCCGCGUGAGUGAAGAAGGCCUU
rnacentral:rRNA from 1 species